rnacentral:lncRNA from 1 species
GGUAGGGGCACCAAAAUAAAAUGUACAAUAAUCAUAAAACAUCAGCAAUUAUAGUUCACUGUAAUAUAAAUGUCAAUAUGCUAUAUAAUAAUAUAAGUAUAGGUAAUCACACGGGAAGGAGUGCAAUUAAUGAUUAACACUACGAGUGAUGUUUGAAAAAUGUGCCAAAAUUGCACAAGCCAUUAAUAAUUAAUUGCACGACUUGUCCGUGUGAUUAUUUAUUUAUUUUAUGCAUGGCAUGAUGACAAAAUAGUUUUCUUUAAAAUUCAACUUCAUUUUGUCAAGAGUUUUUAAUUAUUUUUGUAAGCAAUUUGGCAUAAACAAACUUGGAAAAUGAU